UACGACGGAAAACUUCAAAUCAACUUCGACCUAGCUCUGUUUCCUUCGAAAUCCAUGAAUCCGGUCCAGUUUGCUUCUCUCUUCUUCCGUUUCUUCACGAUUUCGGCUUGUAUUGCUUACGUUGAUGAUGAUGACGAGUUUGGUUCGUCUCUGUUAGUGUAUGGUGAUGAAUUUCGAUUUCGAAUUGUGUGGUGUUGAGAUCUUAUGGCCGAAUUUGUGAUGUUAUGUGACUUGUUUUAUGAUGAUUUUGUGAGAAAGUGUUUUUGUUGGUUUAAUAUUAUGAAGAAUUUUGGUUCCUGGAAUGGAAGAGGUUAAUGUUCAUGAUGAACAACUGUGAACAUUCAUGAUGAUUAUUGUGUAUUUUUUUAUUUUUGAUCUGAAAAAGUUGAGAGAGAUGAAAGAUUAGGGUUUCUGAUGGUGAUUGCUGCGGCUGCUACAGUGAUUUUUCAGACCCUCUUCCCAAUGAUUGGACAGUGUAUUUAUAGUGACAAAAUAGGGUUGGCUCUGGUACAGAUCAAAGACCAAAAUACCCCUGCAGCUGAGACUUGGAGAAAAAGACUUGACAAAA
rnacentral:lncRNA from 1 species